rnacentral:rRNA from 1 species
GACGAGGUCCACAAACGUUAUUCGGAAUUACUGGGCUUAAAGCGCGCGCAGGCGGUCCUUUAAGUCUGAUGUGAAAGCCCACGGCUCAACCGUGGAGGGUCAUUGGAAACUGGGGGACUUGAGUACAGAAGAGAAGAGUGGAAUUCCACGUGUAGCGGUGAAAUGCGUAGAGAUGUGGAGGAACACCAGUGGCGAAGGCGACUCUUUGGUCUGUAACUGACGCUGAGGCGCGAAAGCGUGGGGAGCAAACAGG